CUGAAAUUAAAAUAUUCAAAUUGUAGCUAUAGCUUAGUUGGAGAAUUUUGCCAUUUGGGUUUCAAUUUACAAUAAAUGGAAGUAUGAUAAACCAACCAUUCUAUAGUUAUUAAUACUCCUUGAUUCAUUACAGUUUAGGCUUUUCUCAAGACUUGGCCCUCUUACUGAUAUUACAUAGAGUAGGAAUGCUUUCUCAUAAGGUCUUUUUUUAUAUAACAGGUAUUUGUUUUAUUGG